CUUGGAAAUUAUCAAGCUUUUGGAGGGAGCAUGAGGCACGAAAAGAAGGAAGGAGAAGUUCUGCAGCUAAAGGAGCCAGAGAUUCCUUUCCAAAACCCUACAUAAUCUCCAAAAG
rnacentral:lncRNA from 12 species